rnacentral:rRNA from 1 species
GUUAGGAAUAUUGGACAAUGGGCGCAAGCCUGAUCCAGCCAUGCCGCGUGAGUGAUGAAGGCCUUCGGGUUGUAAAGCUCUUUAGUCCACGAAUAUAAUGACUGUAGUGGAAGAAUAAGCCCCGGCUAACUUCGUGCCAGCAGCCGCGGUAAUACGAAGGGGGCGAGCGUUAUUCGGAAUCACUGGGCGUAAAGCGUGCGUAGGCUGUUUUGUAAGUCAGAAGUGAAAGCCCAGGGCUUAACCCUGGAAGUGCUUUUGAAACUACAAGACUCGAAUUCGGGAGAGGAUAGCGGAAUUGUCAGUGUAGCAGUGAAAUGCGUAGAUAUUGACAGGAACACCAGUGGCGCAAGCGGCUAUCUGGACCGAUAUUGACGCUGAGGCACGAAAGCGUGGGGAGCAAACAGGAUUAGAAACCCGGGUAGUCC